ACGCUGGCGGCGUGCCUAAUACAUGCAAGUCGAGCGAACAGAUGAGAAGCUUGCUUCUCUGAUGUUAGCGGCGGACGGGUGAGUAACACGUGGGUAACCUACCUAUAAGACUGGGAUAACUCCGGGAAACCGGGGCUAAUACCGGAUAAUAUUUUGAACCGCAUGGUUCAAUAGUGAAAGACGGUUUCGGCUGUCACUUAUAGAUGGACCCGCGCCGUAUUAGCUAGUUGGUAAGGUAACGGCUUACCAAGGCGACGAUACGUAGCCGACCUGAGAGGGUGAUCGGCCACACUGGAACUGAGACACGGUCCAGACUCCUACGGGAGGCAGCAGUAGGGAAUCUUCCGCAAUGGGCGAAAGCCUGACGGAGCAACGCCGCGUGAGUGAUGAAGGUCUUCGGAUCGUAAAACUCUGUUGUUAGGGAAGAACAAAUUUGUUAGUAACUGAACAAGUCUUGACGGUACCUAACCAGAAAGCCACGGCUAACUACGUGCCAGCAGCCGCGGUAAUACGUAGGUGGCAAGCGUUAUCCGGAAUUAUUGGGCGUAAAGCGCGCGUAGGCGGUUUCUUAAGUCUGAUGUGAAAGCCCACGGCUCAACCGUGGAGGGUCAUUGGAAACUGGGRAACUUGAGUGCAGAAGAGGAGAGUGGAAUUCCAUGUGUAGCGGUGAAAUGCGCAGAGAUAUGGAGGAACACCAGUGGCGAAGGCGGCUCUCUGGUCUGUAACUGACGCUGAUGUGCGAAAGCGUGGGGAUCAAACAGGAUUAGAUACCCUGGUAGUCCACGCCGUAAACGAUGAGUGCUAAGUGUUAGGGGGUUUCCGCCCCUUAGUGCUGCAGCUAACGCAUUAAGCACUCCGCCUGGGGAGUACGACCGCAAGGUUGAAACUCAAAGGAAUUGACGGGGACCCGCACAAGCGGUGGAGCAUGUGGUUUAAUUCGAAGCAACGCGAAGAACCUUACCAAAUCUUGACAUCCUUUGACCGCUCUAGAGAUAGAGUCUUCCCCUUCGGGGGACAAAGUGACAGGUGGUGCAUGGUUGUCGUCAGCUCGUGUCGUGAGAUGUUGGGUUAAGUCCCGCAACGAGCGCAACCCUUAAGCUUAGUUGCCAUCAUUAAGUUGGGCACUCUAGGUUGACUGCCGGUGACAAACCGGAGGAAGGUGGGGAUGACGUCAAAUCAUCAUGCCCCUUAUGAUUUGGGCUACACACGUGCUACAAUGGAUAAUACAAAGGGCAGCGAAUCCGCGAGGCCAAGCAAAUCCCAUAAAAUUAUUCUCAGUUCGGAUUGUAGUCUGCAACUCGACUACAUGAAGCUGGAAUCGCUAGUAAUCGUAGAUCAGCAUGCUACGGUGAAUACGUUCCCGGGUCUUGUACACACCGCCCGUCACACCACGAGAGUUUGUAACACCCGAAGCCGGUGGAGUAACCUUUUAGGAGCUAGCCGUCGAAGGUGGGACAAAGA
rnacentral:rRNA from 2 species